CAAACCGUUCUAGCUCCAUCACUAGCCUUGCCAGACUAACCCGUGUAGGGGUUAAAUAUUUUCUCCCUUCAAUGUAUCCAGUGAAGAUGGCAAGGUACGCGAGCCGCUUGCGAUCAUCCCGGGACCACCCUUCGCAUCUCUCAAAUGCUGUUAUUAUCUCCUGAGUAGAUGACUCAGCUUCGACAUGAACUCCCAACAUCUCCCAGAAAGAAGUCAACUCCUUUGUAACAACACAGUGAGGUCUCUCAAAGUCCCCUUAAAAAAAAGGAAAGAAAAAGAAAUCAAGAAGGAAAUGUCACAUUUAUUCAUUUUCCUAGUACAUUUGAAAAUUCCUUUGCAAUUUCUUCUACCUUUCAUAGACCAAUUAAAAAUGUUUACAUUUUCUGAUAAUCUUUUAUACUCCCUCCGUUCCUUAAAAAUACAUAUUCUAGAAAAAAAUUUUGCUUCUAAAAGAUUCAUUUUUUACAUUUUCAAUGCAUGUUUUAUUAACUAAUUGUAAACUUCAAAAAUCUUAAUUGCACUAAUUAAUUUUUUAUUGGUUUAAAAUUGUAGACAAAAGAUAAACACAAAAAAUUAUGUAAAUUUAAUGUGUUUUAUUAAAAUGUGUGAAAAAACUAGAAUAUAGAUUUUUCAGGAACAUAUGGAGUAUUCAUUUUCUAGCUGAGAUAUAAAGAACAUUAAAAGCCAUAAUUUGUUUCUUUUUCGGGAAAAGGUCAUAAUUUUUGGUGAAAAAAUUAUUUACUCUAACUUCUGCCAUUAUUAACCAAUCGAGUGAAACAUGGUUGAAUUUCUUUAUCGCUGGUAAUGGUUUAAAAAGUGAAAAAUGGUUUAUAUUUUUUCCACUUGGUCUGAGUAGAGUAAAAGAAGCGUUGCACUGUGUUGCGGUGUGUUUUGACUUUUUAUUUUUUUCUAUUACUCUAUUUACGCUAUAGUUUUCCACUCAUUUCCUCUUUGCUUAGUUACUCCAAAUUACGCUAUUUCUAACCGAUCAUACCAUACAUUUUGUGAUGCAUAUUAGGUGUGAUUGGUAAACCAGGGAGUAAAUGAGAGUAAAUAAAGUAGAGUUUAUUACAGAAACAGUCACAGUUUGUGUUUUUAUUACACAGGAGAGCACAAUGCGCUACUGAGGUAGUUUUACUGUGGCUGAAAACUUAAUUAGCCUCAGAAAAGUUAAACCAGAUAUGGGCAUUAAGGUAAAUUUCCAUUUUAUUUCUAGUUAGGCUGGUUAAGAAAAUUUAAAUUUGAAAAUAUUGGUUUUUUGGUGAUGGACUCGAGAUGAAGUUCAAAUAUGUUUAAUUUUUAUCCUUGGGCCCGUUAAAAAGUAGAUCUAUUUUGGUAAAAUUAUUUUCACCGAAAAGAAAACGGAGAGACGGUUCUGGCGUAGAAGUCGACGAACGAAUUUUCCAACUGACGUAGAAGGAGACCGACGUAGAGGACGAUGUCGUGAAGCGAGCAUGAAAGGGGAAAUACAAAGAUUUGCAAUAUGUGUUGUCGCCGGACUCUUAAAGACUGUUGCAGAGAACAAAGACUUGAAGAAAAGGAAGAUGACAGAGAUAGUGACAGAUUCAUAUGUCUGGGGAGCAUCUUCACACUCAGUUUGACAACAUGUACUUAUGGAUUUCUUUAAUCGGAGUCCAUGUGGAUAGUGAAAGAACAUGUACAUAUGAAUGCUACUUAGCCUGUACAAAUGUUGAAACAUCAAAAUAUGUGUGAUAGUGCUAUAAUGUUGUACACCUGAAAUUUUUUAAAGAGAUUUGUGCAUGUUAUUCGGUUA